UCUUUGCUGGUAUAUUGGUAGAACAUCACCCUGUCAUGCCGCACCAAAGCGGCGCGUAACGGUGAAGAGCAGGGUUCGAUUCCCUGGCAGAGAG